rnacentral:rRNA from 1 species
UACGUAGGGUGCGAGCGUUAAUCGGAAUUACUGGGCGUAAAGCGUGCGCAGGCGGUUCGACAAGUCCGAUGUGAAAGCCCCGGGCUCAACCUGGGAAUGGCAUUGGAAACUGGCGGGCUGGAGUGUGGCAGAGGGGGGUGGAAUUCCGCGUGUAGCAGUGAAAUGCGUAGAGAUGCGGAGGAACACCGAUGGCGAAGGCAGCCCCCUGGGCCGACACUGACGCUCAGGCACGAAAGCGUGGGGAGCAAACAGG